rfam:Bacillus alcalophilus ATCC 27647 = CGMCC 1.3604 strain AV1934 contig00008, whole genome shotgun sequence.
AAGUGGGGUAGAGGUGCAAGGCGAAUGAGUAUACUUAAAGAGCUAGUGGAUAGCGAUGACUUAAGUAAAAAGGUCAACUUGCCGAAGCAUAUAAAUGUACCACCAUUUAUAAAGCUGGGUCGUUAUUGAAUAAAUAACGGACUGUCACUGAUUUUGAUCAGUGGAGAACUAUUCUUUUU